rnacentral:rRNA from 1 species
CCUACGGGUGGCAGCAGUAGGGAAUCUUUCACAAUGGGCGAAAGCCUGAUGGAGCAACGCCGCGUGCAGGAUGAAGGCCUUCGGGUUGUAAACUGCUUUUAUAAGCGAGAAAUAUGAUGGUAACUUAUGAAUAAGGAUCAGCUAACUACGUGCCAGCAGCCGCGGGCAUACGUAGGAGCCGAGCAUUAUCCGGAGUGACUGGGUGUAAAGAGUUGCGUAGGUGGGAUAAUAAGUAGCUAGUGAAAUCUGGUGGCUCAACCAUUCAGACUAUUAGCUAAACUGUUAAGCUCGAGACCGUGAGGGGUAACUGGAAUGCCUGGUGUAGGAGUGAAAUGCGUAGAUAUUAGAAGGAACACCAAUAGCGUAGGCAGGUUACUGGGACGGAACUGACGCUAAGGCACGAAAGCGUAGGGAGCAAACGGGAUUAGAUACCCUAGUAGUC